GCGGCAAUAGCUCAGUGGUAGGGUCUCCGCUUCGCGUGCGGGGAGACCCGGGUUGGAUUCCCGGUUGAUUCC
rfam:Toxocara canis scaffold129, whole genome shotgun sequence.